CGGGGUGUAGCGUAGAUGGCUAGCGCACUCGCUUAGGGAGCGAGAGGUCGCCCGUUCAAAUCGGGUCACCCCGACCA
rnacentral:tRNA from 1 species